UACGGAGGGUGCAAGCGUUAUCCGGAUUUACUGGGUUUAAAGGGUGCGUAGGUGGAUUUGUAAGUCAGUGGUGAAAUCUCCGAGCUUAACUCAGAAACUGCCAUUGAUACUAUAAAUCUUGAAUGCUCUGGAGGUAAGCGGAAUAUGUCAUGUAGCGGUGAAAUGCUUAGAUAUGACAUAGAACACCAAUUGCGAAGGCAGCUUACUACACAGUUAUUGCCACUGAGGCACGAAAGCGUGGGGAUCAAACAGG
rnacentral:rRNA from 1 species